rnacentral:rRNA from 1 species
UACGUAGGAGGCGAGCGUUGUCCGGAGUUACUGGGCGUAAAGCGCACGCAGGCGGUCCUAUUAGUCUGGGGUGACAGUUCCCGGCUUAACCGGAAAAGGACUCUGGAAACUGUAGGACUUGAGGGCGUCAGAGGGAUGUGGAAUUCCAGGUGGAGUGGUGAAAUGCGUAGAGAUCUGGAAGAACACCAAAGGCGAAGGCAGCAUCCUGGGAAGUUCCUGACGCUCGGGUGCGAAAGCCAGGGGAGCGAACGGG